rnacentral:lncRNA from 12 species
UAUGAUUAGAAUACAGUGCAUUCCUUAAAGUUUAUUGUCAAUUGCUCAUUUUCUUUCCUCCUUUCAGAGGAUGCCAAGAUCAUUAAAGCCAGGACUGGGACCCACAUCAACAUCAUCUAUAAUCUAUUGGAUCAUGAUAUUCCACUGAGCUCAUCCAUCAGUACUUCUACCAAAUGGAAGACACAGAAAUUUCUGAAAAAUCUGAAUACAUCCCUCAAGUUGAACUUUCAGAAUGGCUGGGUAGCUUUGUCCUCCACCUGUGUCCAGCUAUUAGUAUUAAGCUGUGGUAAGCACUUUUUUCAAGACUGAGGGCCUGGCUGCCUUCCAGGGUCCCAUUGUUUAUGAACUUCCUUUUAUUUAAUGUUCUAUUUCUACAAUUACAGAUGUUGUUAAAUCUGAUCAAGAACCCAGGUGUGCUACCUCUUACAUACAGGCCCAUGUUAUCUUAAAGGUCCAGGACCUACAGGCUAGUUGGAACAGAGGAGCAGACAAAGAAGAAACGAAUAUUUAUUGUCUUGACUCCAAAAUAUGGUGAGAGAACUCUGCAAAAUACAGAAGGUUAAAAGAUUGCUACAACUCCUUCAUUGUGGUUUGCUUUAUAUACCACUGCAUGCUGUACGCAGAUGGAUUCCUAUUUAUGAGAAAUGAGAAGCAGAGUGUGGCCCACCCUGACUCCUCACCUUGCUCUUAUCAGACUGCAUCUGACAAAUGAAACAACAGGAAGUUUUGCUGGAAGCUGUUGAUGGCUGGGGUUAAACAGCAAGCAGUGAGUGGUCUAGAAAUGUUAUAAUACUAAGCACCGAUGUUGUUUCUACCACAGUGUUGUAGAAACUGGAUAUGUAUAUAUUCAGAGCAAACUUCUGGCUUUGGGUUUUUCUUCUACUUCAUUUCUGGGAAAGUGUCACUUGUCUGACAUGGUACAUUGUGUUCCAGCUCAUACUAUUCAGGUGCACAACUAAACUUUUCUGAAGAGAGAGGGAAUAAUGGGGUACAAUGUAGUCCUUCCUGUUCCUUUAGUGUAUUAGUCAGGGUUCUCCAUAGAGACAGAACCAAUAGGAUAUAUAUAAUUAAGUAUUUAAUACACUUUAUAAUUAUACCACACUUAGAAUAAUGUUUAAUCAAAUAUGUGGUACAGCAUGGACCAGUCAAAUUGACAAAUAAAAUUAACCAUUGCAGGGUAGCCCGGGUGGCU